rnacentral:rRNA from 1 species
GUGAGGAAUAUUGGUCAAUGGGCGCAAGCCUGAACCAGCCAUGCCGCGUGCAGGAAGACGGUCCUAUGGAUUGUAAACUGCUUUUAUUUGGGAAUAAACCUCCUUACGUGUAGGGAGCUGAAGGUACCAAAUGAAUAAGCACCGGCUAACUCCGUGCCAGCAGCCGCGGUAAUACGGAGGGUGCAAGCGUUAUCCGGAAUCAUUGGGUUUAAAGGGUCCGCAGGCGGUCAUAUAAGUCAGUGGUGAAAGCCUACAGCUCAACUGUAGAACUGCCAUUGAUACUGUAUGACUUGAAUUCGAUCGAAGUGGGCGGAAUGUGACAUGUAGCGGUGAAAUGCUUAGAUAUGUCACAGAACACCGAUAGCGAAGGCAGCUCACUAGGUCUGGAUUGACGCUCAGGGACGAAAGCGUGGGGAGCAAACAGGAUUAGAAACCCUGGUAGUCC